rnacentral:rRNA from 1 species
AUGAACGCUAGCUACCGGCUUAACACAUGCAAGUCGAGGGGCAGCGGUAUCGAAAGCUUGCUUUCGGUAGCCGGCGACCGGCGCACGGGUGAGUAACGCGUAUCGAACCUGCCUCAUACUCGGGAAUAGCCUUGCGAAAGUAAGAUUAAUGCCGGUGUUUUCAGAGUCCCGCAUGAGGCUUUGAACAAAGAUUUAUCGGUAUGAGAUGGCGAUGCGUCCCAUUAGCUUGUUGGCGGGGUAACGGCCCACCAAGGCAUCGAUGGGUAGGGGUUCUGAGAGGAAGGUCCCCCACAUUGGAACUGAGACACGGUCCAAACUCCUACGGGAGGCAGCAGUGAGGAAUAUUGGUCAAUGGGCGGAAGCCUGAACCAGCCAAGUAGCGUGCAGGAAGACGGCCCUCCGGGUUGUAAACUGCUUUUAGUUGGGAAUAAAACGGGGCUCGUGAGCCCCCUUGCAUGUACCAUCAGAAAAAGGACCGGCUAAUUCCGUG